rfam:Candidatus Coatesbacteria bacterium 4484_99 ex4484_99_scaffold_10851, whole genome shotgun sequence.
UGGGGCGUAGGCAAGUGGUAAGCCACGGGACUUUGGAUCCUGUAUUCGGGGGUUCGAAUCCUCCCGCCCCAG